UUAAAUUGAAGAGUUUGAUCAUGGCUCAGAUUGAACGCUGGCGGCAGGCCUAACACAUGCAAGUCGAACGGUAACAGGAAGCAGCUUGCUGCUUCGCUGACGAGUGGCGGACGGGUGAGUAAUGUCUGGGAAACUGCCUGAUGGAGGGGGAUAACUACUGGAAACGGUGGCUAAUACCGCAUAACGUCGCAAGACCAAAGAGGGGGACCUUCGGGCCUCUUGCCAUCAGAUGUGCCCAGAUGGGAUUAGCUUGUUGGUGAGGUAACGGCUCACCAAGGCGACGAUCCCUAGCUGGUCUGAGAGGAUGACCAGCCACACUGGAACUGAGACACGGUCCAGACUCCUACGGGAGGCAGCAGUGGGGAAUAUUGCACAAUGGGCGCAAGCCUGAUGCAGCCAUGCCGCGUGUAUGAAGAAGGCCUUCGGGUUGUAAAGUACUUUCAGCGGGGAGGAAGGUGUUGUGGUUAAUAACCGCAGCAAUUGACGUUACCCGCAGAAGAAGCACCGGCUAACUCCGUGCCAGCAGCCGCGGUAAUACGGAGGGUGCAAGCGUUAAUCGGAAUUACUGGGCGUAAAGCGCACGCAGGCGGUCUGUCAAGUCGGAUGUGAAAUCCCCGGGCUCAACCUGGGAACUGCAUUCGAAACUGGCAGGCUUGAGUCUUGUAGAGGGGGGUAGAAUUCCAGGUGUAGCGGUGAAAUGCGUAGAGAUCUGGAGGAAUACCGGUGGCGAAGGCGGCCCCCUGGACAAAGACUGACGCUCAGGUGCGAAAGCGUGGGGAGCAAACAGGAUUAGAUACCCUGGUAGUCCACGCCGUAAACGAUGUCUACUUGGAGGUUGUGCCCUUGAGGCGUGGCUUCCGGAGCUAACGCGUUAAGUAGACCGCCUGGGGAGUACGGCCGCAAGGUUAAAACUCAAAUGAAUUGACGGGGGCCCGCACAAGCGGUGGAGCAUGUGGUUUAAUUCGAUGCAACGCGAAGAACCUUACCUGGUCUUGACAUCCACAGAAGAAUCCAGAGAUGGAUUUGUGCCUUCGGGAACUGUGAGACAGGUGCUGCAUGGCUGUCGUCAGCUCGUGUUGUGAAAUGUUGGGUUAAGUCCCGCAACGAGCGCAACCCUUAUCCUUUGUUGCCAGCGGUUAGGCCGGGAACUCAAAGGAGACUGCCAGUGAUAAACUGGAGGAAGGUGGGGAUGACGUCAAGUCAUCAUGGCCCUUACGACCAGGGCUACACACGUGCUACAAUGGCGCAUACAAAGAGAAGCGACCUCGCGAGAGCAAGCGGACCUCAUAAAGUGCGUCGUAGUCCGGAUUGGAGUCUGCAACUCGACUCCAUGAAGUCGGAAUCGCUAGUAAUCGUGGAUCAGAAUGCCACGGUGAAUACGUUCCCGGGCCUUGUACACACCGCCCGUCACACCAUGGGAGUGGGUUGCAAAAGAAGUAGGUAGCUUAACCUUCGGGAGGGCGCUUACCACUUUGUGAUUCAUGACUGGGGUGAAGUCGUAACAAGGUAACCGUAGGGGAACCUGCGGUUGGAUCACCUCCUUACCUUAAAGAA
rnacentral:rRNA from 166 species